rnacentral:rRNA from 1 species
AUGCCGGCGGUGGGGCCUGCCUUCCCGCUCCACGGCGACGACGUCCUCGGGGAGAUCUUCCUCCGCCUCGGCCCUCUCAAACCCUCGCUCCUGCGCGCGUCUCACGUGUGCAAGCAGUGGCGAAGCGUCGUCUCCGACCCCGGUUUCCUCCGCCGGUUCCGCGCACGCCACCGGAAACCUUCGCUCCUCGGCGUCUUCACGCAGCAGCACGGAAAAGCCCUCUUCCGCUCGGUUCUCGACCCUCCUGUUAUUCCUUCAGAGCGCUUCUCCUUGCGAGGCUACGGCUCGUGGGAUCUGCUUGGGUGCCGCCAUGGACGCGUCCUCGUCAUGAACCACACUGAGGGCAAGGCCAUUGUGUACGACCCCGUUACUGGCGACCAGCACCGGAUAGCAGUUCCUCGGGAGUUCCGUCAGAAUGCAGUGGUUGCUAAUAUCAAUGGCGCGGUGCUUUGCACGGGCACGGCCGACAACAAGGGCCACAUACAUGGUGCGUGCCGCUCAAGCCCCUUUAAAAUCGUUUUGGUACGCGCCUAUACGGCCUACUCGGCCAAGAGGAAUCUUACUUAUCGUAUGGCCCACGCAUGUGUUUACUCGUCAAAGACUCGAACCUGGGGCAAAAACGUCUCAGCGGUGCUACCAUGUGACAGUUACAUUUCUGGUCACCAUAGCGUCUUUGCUGGUAAUGCACUUUACUGGUAUCUUCCUGGCAAUAUACUAAAGUUUGAUAUGGGCAUGGAGAGCCUACAUGUGAUUAAGAAACUUCCUGUUGCAAACGAUUGCUACGAUACAAGCCAUAUUAUCCGCUCAAAAGAUGGCGGUGUUGGCAUUGCUUUAUUGUCAUACCCUACCUUUCAAGUGUGGGACAUGAAGAAUUUCAAGAAAAAAAAUAGAUGUCAUGGUGGAACUAGAUGGCUGCCGCAGAAGUCUAUUAGUCUCGAGCUAGGAUAUGGGAGUGGUAUUAUAAGGACGAAACAAGCUAUAUUGGGGUUUGACGAGGACGAGAAUGCAAUCUUCUUUCGAGUGGGCAGCAAUAUCUUCAUCGUCCAUCUUGUAUCAAUGAAGUCCAAGAAACUUUGGAGAAGCUAUACUACAUGCAAAUAUCAUCCUUACACGUGUUACUAUACCGCAGGUAAUUGCUCAUCUUUAAAUUGUUGGAGUUAUUAA